rnacentral:misc_RNA from 1 species
GAUGAAGAACGUAGCGAAAUGCGAUACGUAAUGUGAAUUCCAGAAUUCAGUGAAUCAUCGAGUCUUUGAACGCACAUUGCGCCCCCUGGUAUUCCGGGGGGCAUGCCUGUCCGAGCGUCAUUGCUGCCCUCAAGCACGGCUUGUGUGUUGGGCCUCCGUCCUCCUCCCGGGGGACGGGCCCGAAAGGCAGCGGCGGCACCGCGUCCGGUCCUCGAGCGUAUGGGGCUUCGUCACCCGCUCUUGUAGGCCCGGCCGGCGCUUGCCGACACAUCAAUCUUUUUUCCAGGUUGACCUCGGAUCAGGUAGGGAUACCCGCUGAACUUAAGCAUAUCAAUAAGCGGAGGA